UUGCUCUACUAUACAGUUCAGGCAGGUCAGUUGAUGGUAUAGUCUCAAUAAAACGUGUAUUCUGAUCAUUAUCAUCAUCCAUGAAGUCUCCGGUGCUACUAAAUCCCCAGUAAUUAUCACUGCGGAAAUUUCUUGCAGAACCACCUUCAACAUGAGCAUCUCCGACAAAAUCAAUAAGCCUGUUGUUUUCUGUAAUAGCAACAUCAUUUCCUCCACAAUUCACAUGCAAGGAACACUCAUCUGCCAUG
rnacentral:misc_RNA from 1 species